rnacentral:piRNA from 1 species
UGGCCUAUUCCUAUUUACGACCUCUUUCUG